CAAUUGGCUCAUUCAUCCCCCUCUCCCCUGUAACUAUUCCCCAGGUCGUUGCUGUAAAUGAGAAUGUGUUCAUUUACCUGGUUAAAAAAAAUAAUUCAGCUCAUGUAACAUGAGACUGACACUUUACAUGUUGCGUUUAUAUUUUUGUUCAGUAUAUAUUUCAGAGAUGGUUAUUUACCAGAUACUAUUGCUCAGUGAGACAGUCAGUGUUUGCACUGUACCUCAAGCAAAACAUUUCCAAAACCUAUUGCUUAGUUGAACACAAAAGCAAUAUUUUUUGGGGGGGCAUGUUUAGUCAUUAUCUAAAGCAACUUAGUUAGUGCAUUCGUCUUCAGAUAGGGAGGUGAGACAACCACAUCAGUCGUGGUAAGAACAUUUUCCCCAAACAAAAAGAAGUGCAGGUUUUAUUUAUUUGUACUUAAAAUAAGAUGGAUGUCUUAUUUAAGAUACUCCGUGAAGAGGUGGGGUUGUCUAUAAGAAGCCAAGGAUAUGCUAGCUAUCGAGCAAUACAUUAGCAAUGCCAGUAACAAUCCUAUCUGUUUUCAGAUGAUCCUAAAGAUUUAACCUCCCAGUAACCACUCACACUCUUCUCCAUUCUACCCUGUGGGGUGAGCUGUCACAAAGACUGUUGCAGCCACCUUGCUGUUGAGUGCUGCAAACCAACAAAUGUGCCGGUCACGAUCCUUCAGUGUGCCUGAUAUGGUUUAGCCCCGACACGUUCUACAUCCGAGGAAGCACCCGACUCUCUGGAGGAUGAAGUGUUUGAUGUCCACCUUUUUGAGUAUAGUCUCGCUUCGUCGGGUGUGUACUCCACAGGGAUGCUGCCCGACAUUUGUCUCCAAUGCUUCCCACACUUUUUUCAAGGUGGCUGCGUGUCGUUUGGGUAGCGGACCAUUCUACACGGAACAUUUUUGAGUGUGGAAAAACCCCAGCAGCGUUGCAGUUCUUGACCCACUCAAACCAGUGCGCCGGGCACCUACUCCCUUAUCUCGUUCAAAGGCACGUGAAUAUUUUGUCUUGCCCGUUCACCCUCUGAAUGGCACACAUACACACUCCAUGUCUCGGGGCUGAUAAAUCCUUAUUUAACCCGUCUCCUCCCCUUCAUCUACACAGAUUUUUGAAGUGCAUUUAACAGGUGUCAUCAAUCAAGGGAUCCUUAGCUUACACCAGUCAGUCUGUCAUGGAAAGGACCUGUCUCUAAUGUUUUUGUACACUGUGUAUGUCAGCAUCUCCUAGUGUGAGCAAUGUGCCUGAUCAAAUGCUCUAUCUGCAAGUGUUUUGAAGUAGUCUCUCUACAAUUCCUAUCUAAACUCAUCCUGUUUUUAGACUGCAGUUCUCUAUUUCCUGAAUGAAUUUUGUGGUCCACUUACUAGUUAAUUUUCACAUCAGAAUGAAGACCAACAUUGACGAGAUCACAAACGUUUCCCAUGCUGCCCAAGCUGAACUUAAAUGAGGACCCGACAGCAAUGACACUCCGACGAUCUGUGUGAUAGAAAUGUUUUUGCUCCUGUUUGGAUACGCAAUGCACGCUAAGAACAUUGCACAUUCUCUGACUUUCUUGAAUGUCCACAUUUUCCCCACGUUUUAGAGCUAUUGAACCUGAGGAAGGAUUGUGUAACUGUGUAACUAACUAUAUGUUUACUUGCUAAUGAUACUUUGAUUCAGUCAUUGCAUGUUGUGCUGAUUUGUGUAUUUAUUUUCUGAUGAAUUAAUCCUUCAUUCUCUUGGCUAUAGUAUUAUUUGCCCAGAGCUUUCACAGUAGGUAAACCUGGAGUACAGUAGAUGCAUAUCUCUGCAUGUGCUUGUAUACGGCUCAUGAUUGCUGAAGGUUGCUUCUCCUCUAGGUGGGGAGGUUUUGUGUCAACACUGCAUAGCGUAGGCUACCACUGGGAUUUAGCAUUUUGUAGUUCUUUCACAUUCCCUGGUUUUAGUGUAGCCCUAUGUUUGUGUAUAAAAUGUGGAUUGUUGAUGACAAGGUAAAUUGAGGUUCUUUCCUCAGCUAGCCAACCAUGUUCAUGUUUGAUUACAUUGUAUUGUGGUACAAUUUUAAAAGGCAGAAAGAUCUUCUAUGGUUUUAUAUCAUAGAAUAGAGAUGGCAUCAUGCCCAACUACUUUGGACUUUGCUACCUGUGUACAUACAAUAUGCUGAGGAGUUAUUUGUCUCGCUCUGUUACUCCCAAGUGAUACUCCCAUGAGGGAAGGCAAUUAAUUUACUCUGAGCAGUGGUUUCUAGGAACUUCAAUACAUAGCUGAGACGAUUCUCUCCGGGAUCGUCACACUGUAAAAUGUGAUAACAGCACAAAUUUAGGCUACAUUUUAUACUUAUUGCUUAAAGUCCGAGGGGUUGUGGUAUAUGGCCGAUAUACCACAGAUAAGGGCUGUUCUUAGGCGCAACACUGAGUGCCUGGAUAUAUACCAUAAACCCCCGAGGUGCCUUAUUGAGAUUAUAAACUGGUUACCAAUGUAAUUAGAGCGGUAAAAAUACAUGUUUUGUCAUACCCAUGGUAUAUGGUCUGUUUAUAAACUGGGUGGUUCAUGUCCUGAAUGCUGAUUGGCUGAAAGCCAUGGCUUAUCGGUCUGUAUACCACGGGUAGACCGGGGCGGCAGGGUAGUCUAGUGGUUAGAGUGUUGGACUAGUAACCGGAAGGUUGUAAGUUCAAAUCCCCAAGCUGACUAGGUACAAAUCUGUCGUUCUGCCCCUGAACAGGCAGUUAACCCACUGAAAAAUAAGAAUUUGUUCUUAACUGACUUGCCUAGUUAAAUAAAGGUAAAAUAAAUUACUAGUGUAGCCUAUAAGCAGAUGUAGGCAUUGUUUUACACUUGCCAAUAUACCAUGGCUAAGGGCUGUAUCAGGGCACUCUGUGUCACGUCGUGUGUAAGAACAGGCCUUAGCUGUGGUAUAUUGGCCAUAUACCAUUGCUUAAAUAUACCACACCUGUCAGCCAAUCAGCAUUCCGGGCUCGAACCGCCUAUAAUUUUGAAAUCUAUUCCUAUUGCAACAAACAUGACUUAAAAACAUUCUUCUUCAUAUUUUGUGAUAGAGCUUAUCAAUAAUUUUGUCUUUCAAACAGAUUCCAAUUUAGAGCAUUUUGUUAUGUUGGACUUUAGUAGAUAUUCAGUUUGAGAAAUAAUGUUUAGUACUUUUGUGCUGUCUUUUAUUUGAACCACUCAUUUUGCAAACUUGUAACCUUCAGGUGUUGCUGGCACUCCUGUCAACUUCCAAUUUGGUAGGCUGAGGAUUUGUCACCAUAGUAACUCCACCUCUGGCAUCCUGUAGGCAUUUACUGGCCUGUGAAAACUGAAGCCAUCUCACAAGGGCUAGUCCUAUUUAUAUUGUGGUCGUUUUUUUUAAUAACGCAAGCAAGGUUAUUAUUGAGGGAGAUGUCCAAACCCGUAUGAUCUUGUCACACUGCAUUAACAGCUUUAUGGAGCUGAGAGAGAAAAUAAAGGGCUUGGAUUAGGUCCAAGGCCAGUUAUCAUGUGUGCAGGGUUUAUACACAUGAGAGCAGACUAUUUAUGUAUGUGAAAUAGGGUAUAUAAUAGCCUCAUAUUUUUUUUUUUAAAAGCACUUGUUAAGUUAUACACCCGAAAUGCUUAGA